rnacentral:lncRNA from 1 species
GUAAGGUGAAGUGUCCUUUAAUAGAUGUUAAAUCCUGAUGUCAGUAUGUGCCAAGGGAAUAAACAAGUGAAGAGGCCUAUCUGCAGCUGCUGGGUAACUCGAUUGCAGAUCCACCUCAAGAAGGGAUAAAUUCCAGAAUGCUGUACAGCUGUAAGUGGUUUUUCAUCGUGAUGGAUCUGAUUGCAUCCCUGAGCUUCCCAAAGAGACCACCUUCUUAACACUAUUAAGUGUUCAAGGAUAUCUGUUGAACUAAGUCCUAAGCCACCAUUUUGCAACUCUGUGAACUCACAUGUAGCUGAGCAUGGAUGAGAUACUAGAAAUGUGGAUCUCUGUCAGAGAAAGCAAUUUCAAAUUUCAUUAGUUCUUUUCUAGAAUUUAACUGCUUCAGAACAUCAUGUCCAUAUCUGUGUGUGCAGUGGUUUUUCUGGAAGGGGCUCCUUGACUGAAGUCUCCAAGAACGAGUAACACAAGUAAUCCUGGUUUGUGCCACACAAGCUGCUCUCUGAAUCCUGCACCAUGAAACCACAUGAAGAUUCUUACUGUGGCCACAAAUACCAAGAAUUUGGAUGGAACAGAGAAAGGAUGAAAAAUAACAUAUGUAAAGCUCACUUUCCUAUAGAAUCACUUAAUUAUUUUUACUGAUGUGGUUGGGUGUUUUGUUUUUAUUUUAUUUUGGC